UACAGAGGGUGCAAGCGUUAAUCGGAUUUACUGGGCGUAAAGGGUGCGUAGGUGGCUAUUUAAGUCGGAUGUGAAAGCCCGGGGCUCAACCUCGGAAUUGCAUUCGAUACUGAGUGGCUAGAGUUCGGUAGAGGGCGGCGGAAUUUCCGGUGUAGCGGUGAAAUGCGUAGAUAUCGGAAGGAACAUCAAUGGCGAAGGCAGCCGCCUGGGCCUGGACUGACACUGAGGCACGAAAGCGUGGGGAGCAAACAGG
rnacentral:rRNA from 1 species